AUUGAACGCUGGCGGCAGGCCUAACACAUGCAAGUCGAGCGGAGCGGCGGACGGGUGAGUAAUGCCUAGGAAUCUGCCUGGUAGUGGGGGAUAACGUCGGGAAACGGGCGGUAAUACCGCAUAAUAUCAGAUGAGACUAGGUGGGAUUAGCUAGUUGGUGGGGUAAAGGCCUACCAAGGCGACGAUCCGUAACUGGUCUGAGAGGAUGAUCAGUCACACUGGAACUGAGACACGGUCCAGACUCCUACGGUACGCAGCAGUGGUGAAUAUUGGACAAUGGGCGAAAGCCUGAUCCAGCCAUGCCGCGUGUGUGAAGAAGGUCUUCGGAUUGUAAAGCACUUUAAGUUGGGAGGCGUUACCUACAGAAUAAGCACCGGCUAACUUCGUGCCAGCAGCCGCGGUAAUUC
rnacentral:rRNA from 1 species